UGAGGCAGGAGAAUCACUUGAACCCAAGAGGCAGAAGUUGCAGUGAGCUGAGAUCGCACCACUGCACUCCAGCCUGGGCGACAGAGACUCUGUCUCAAAAAAAAAAAAA
rnacentral:miRNA from 1 species